AUGCCGCAUGUCAGCCUCAUGGGGAUCAAACAGAUGAGGAGAAGGAAGCAGCAAGGAAGAAGGCGUGUUGCUGUGUUAAUAUUGGGUGCAGCAAUUUCACAACUCUGGGAAGAGCAUCUGCUGGAGGGUGUCACCUGCGGCAUCACCUGCAUCGACCUCUCGCUGAUUACCAUCCCAAGGAUGCGCGACCGACUAGCGAAGCAGGGCUUCAGUGAUAAGUUCACUGAUUUGGUCGACUCACCGUUCCCUUCCUCUGUCCACGCAAUGCUGCUCGUUAUUGUUAGGUUGUUAAUUCAGCAGGCCCCUUAUUGCGCUACAUAG
rnacentral:rRNA from 1 species